rnacentral:rRNA from 1 species
AUUGAACGCUGGCGGCAGGCUUAACACAUGCAAGUCGAGCGAGCGGCGGACGGGUGAGUAAUGUCUGGGAAACUGCCUGAUGGAGGGGGAUAACUACUGGAAACGGUAGCUAAUACCGCAUACCAUCAGAUGUGCCCAGAUGGGAUUGGCUAGUAGGUGGGGUAAUGGCUCACCUAGGCGACGAUCCCUAGCUGGUCUGGGAGGAUGACCAGCCACACUGGAACUGAGACACGGUCCAGACUCCGACGGUGGGCUGCAGUGGGGAAUAUUGCACAAUGGGCGCAAGCCUGAUGAAGCCGUGCCGCGUGUGUGAAGAAGGCCUUCGGGUUGUAAAGCACUUUCAGCGAGGAGGCGUUACUCGCAGAAGAAGCACCGGCUAAGUCCGUGCCAGCGGCCGCGGUAAUAC